CUACGGGGUGCAGCAGUGGGGAAUAUUGCACAAUGGGCGCAAGCCUGAUGCAGCCAUGCCGCGUGUAUGAAGAAGGCCUUCGGGUUGUAAAGUACUUUCAGCGGGGAGGAAGGGAGUAAAGUUAAUACCUUUGCUCAUUGACGUUACCCGCAGAAGAAGCACCGGCUAACUCCGUGCCAGCAGCCGCGGUAAUACGGAGGGUGCAAGCGUUAAUCGGAAUUACUGGGCGUAAAGCGCACGCAGGCGGUUUGUUAAGUCAGAUGUGAAAUCCCCGGGCUCAACCUGGGAACUGCAUCUGAUACUGGCAAGCUUGAGUCUCGUAGAGGGGGGUAGAAUUCCAGGUGUAGCGGUGAAAUGCGUAGAGAUCUGGAGGAAUACCGGUGGCGAAGGCGGCCCCCUGGACGAAGACUGACGCUCAGGUGCGAAAGCGUGGGGAGCAAACAGGAUUAGAUACCCCUGUAGUC
rnacentral:rRNA from 1 species